rnacentral:rRNA from 1 species
GCAUAUCAAUAAGCGGAGGAAAAGAAACCCAACAGGGAUUGCCCUAGUAACGGCGAGUGAAGCGGCAACAGCUCAAAUUUGAAAUCUGGCCUUCGGGUCCGAAUUGUAAUUUGUAGAGGAUGCUUUUGGUGAGGUACCUUCCGAGUUCCCUGGAACGGGACGCCAUAGAGGGUGAGAGCCCCGUCUGGUCGGAUACCGAUCCUCUGUAAAGCUCCUUCGACGAGUCGAGUAGUUUGGGAAUGCUGCUCUAAAUGGGAGGUAUAUGUCUUCUAAAGCUAAAUAUUGGCCAGAGACCGAUAGCGCACAAGUAGAGUGAUCGAAAGAUGAAAAGCACUUUGAAAAGAGAGUUAAAAAGUACGUGAAAUUGUUGAAAGGGAAGCGCUCAUGACCAGACUUGGGCUUGGUUGAUCAUCCAGGGUUCUCCCUGGUGCACUCUUCCAGCCCAGGCCAGCAUCAGUUCGCUGUGGGGGAUAAAGGCUUUGGGAAUGUGGCUCCUCCGGGAGUGUUAUAGCCCAUUGUGUAAUACCCUGUGGUGGACUGAGGUUCGCGCAUCUGCAAGGAUGCUGGCGUAAUGGUCAUCAGCGACCCGUCUUGAAACACGGACCAAGGAGUCGUCUUCGUAUGCGAGUGUUCGGGUGUUAAACCCCUACGCGUAAUGAAAGUGAACGCAGGUGAGAGCUUCGGCGCAUCAUCGACCGAUCCUGAUGUUCUCGGAUGGAUUUGAGUAAGAGCAUACGGGGCCGGACCCGAAAGAAGGUGAACUAUGCCUGUAUAGGGUGAAGCCAGAGGAAACUCUGGUGGAGGCUCGCAGCGGUUCUGACGUGCAAAUCGAUCGUCAAAUAUGGGCAUGGGGGGCGAAAGACUAAUCGAACCUUCUAGUAGCUGGUUUUCCGCCGAAG